rnacentral:tRNA from 1 species
CCGAGAACUGGCUGAGCCGCGCCAAGGCCUCCGAGGCCAUGCGGGCGCGGUUCGAUGCGGCAUUCGCGGA